rnacentral:rRNA from 1 species
GAUGAACGCUGGCGGCGUGCCUAAUACAUGCGAGUCGAGCGAACAGACGAGGAGCUUGCUCCUCUGACGUUAGCGGCGGACGGGUGAGUAACACGUGGAUAACCUACCUAUAAGACUGGGAUAACUUCGGGAAACCGGAGCUAAUACCGGAUAAUAUAUUGAACCGCAUGGUUCAAUAGUGAAAGACGGUUUUGCUGUCACUUAUAGAUGGAUCCGCGCCGCAUUAGCUAGUUGGUAAGGUAACGGCUUACCAAGGCAACGAUGCGUAGCCGACCUGAGAGGGUGAUCGGCCACACUGGAACUGAGACACGGUCCAGACUCCUACGGGAGGCAGCAGUAGGGAAUCUUCCGCAAUGGGCGAAAGCCUGACGGAGCAACGCCGCGUGAGUGAUGAAGGUCUUCGGAUCGUAAAACUUUGUUAUUAGGGAAGAACAAAUGUGUAAGUAACUAUGCACGUCUUGACGGUACCUAAUCAGAAAGCCACGGCUAACUACGUG